rnacentral:rRNA from 1 species
GACGAACGCUGGCGGCGUGCUUAACACAUGCAAGUCGAACGGAAAGGCCUGCUUUCCCUUGUGGAUUGCGGGUACUCGAGUGGCGAACGGGUGAGUAACACGUGAGUGAUCUGCCCCCAACUUGGGUAUAAGCCUGGGAAACUGGGUCUAAUUCCCGAUAGGACUGCAGGGUGGUGCCUGUGGUGGAAAACGAUUUUCCAGUGGUUGGGGAUGAGCUCGCGGCCUAUCAGCUUGUUGGUGGGGUAAUGGCCUACCAAGGCGGCGACGGGUAGCCGGCCUGAGAGGGGGGACGGCAACAUUGGGACUGAGAUACGGCCCAGACUCCUACGGGAGGCAGCAGUGGGGAAUAAUGCACAAUGGGCGGAAGCCUGAUGCAGCGACGCCGCGUGGGGGAUGACGGCCUUCGGGUUGUAAACUCCUUUCGACCGCGAGGAAGCCACCUGGUUGGAAGGGUGGUGACGGUAGUGGUAGAAGAAGCACCGGCUAACUACGUG